UACCUUCUCUGCAAUGUUCAUAUGACUCUACAUUGCAUUUGUGCUACCAUACAUAAUCUCUUUGUGCUAGGGAACUGGCGAAGAAGUUUCAAUUUUUGUUUUUGAUGUGAAAAAUUCUCCACCUGAUCAGGUACAGUCAUAGACUAUGGUUUAGUUUUCUUUGUGUACAAAGGGGGGUUAAAAAAUAUUUUUCCGGACAUUACAUUUUUGGAUUGUUCAAUGUACCAUAAUUCGUUACAUUUUUUGUAAAUUUAUCGAAAUUUUUGCUGCAACUAUUACUUUUUAAUUAAGUGCCAGUCAAAUAUUUUUGCUGACAACGAAAAGAAUUUUCCAACAAAUCCGCUAUUUUGAGAUUUUUCAGGGGGGUGUCACACCCCACACCUUCUAGCAACUCCCCUGGUACAGUACACAAGCCUGUCGUAUACGAUGUUAAGACAAAAAAAUUACAAAUGUAUUGAUUUGCAGAUGACAAAAUUUUCACUUUUUGAAUGAAAUUUGUGCAAAGAAAUAUUUUCAAAAUAUAAUGUAUUCUAAUAUUCUGAGAUGCACCUGUGUAUACUGCACACAAUUUUAAGACCUAACCAUGAAUGGUUGUGAUAAAUGGAGCACUAGGUCUUCUGGCUGGAAUUGAACCUGCGGCCCUGGUACGGUGCUCUGACCAACUGAGCUACAUGGGCCAGUUGUUGAGCUGUAACUGCAAGUUUAUGUAGAUAUAGAUGUUCGGGUAUGUGGAUUGCAGGUGAACCUGAAACUUUAAGAUGCUUUUGCACUUUACUUGGUUGAAAUUGAAUGGUUGGUUUGGUAGAUAAUCCCAACCCCGUUCCCAGGGCCUUGUGCCCUUUCUUCUCUCCGGGGCACAUUUUCGUACCCAGAGCCCUUCUUAUGCGCGAUGCGACGAAUGGCUCUGGCCAAAUCCAUAACCGGAUACCAUAAAAACAUGGUAAGAAAACAAUAUCCAGUGUUUGAACUAACCAUUCCAAUCAGAUGCCAGUUUGGAUAUGGAUAUAUAUAUAUAUAUAUAUAUAUAUAUAUAUAUAUAUAUAUAUAUAUAUAUAUAUAUAUAUAUAUAUAUAUAUAUAUAUAUAUAUAUAUAUAUAUAUAUAUAUAUAUACAAUUUCAAGACCUAGAGUAGGUCAAAAUUGGUUAGGUCUUAAAAUUGUGUAUAUAGAUCUGUGUUCACUUGGAUUAUCUACCAAAUCCAGCAUUCAAGUUCAACCAAGUGAAGUACAAAAAUUACAUCUAAAUUUCAAGUUUACUGUCAGUAGUAAUUGUACAUGCUUGUUUCUUACUUCAACUGCAAUAUAGCAUGAGGUUGCAAAGGCUGAGUUCAAGAGAUUGAAGACGUUGAGACAUCCGACUGUCUUGCGUUUUGUUGAUG